UACGGAGGGGGCUAGCGUUGUUCGGUAUUACUGGGCGUAAAGCGCACGUAGGCGGCUUUGUAAGUUAGAGGUGAAAAGCCCAGAGCUCAACUCUGGAACUGCCUUUAAGACUGCAUCGCUAGAACGUUGGAGAGGUGAGUGGAAUUCCGAGUGUAGAGGUGAAAUUCGUAGAUAUUCGGAAGAACACCAGUGGCGAAGGCGACUCACUGGACAACUGUUGACGCUGAGGUGGCGAAAGCGUGGGGAG
rnacentral:rRNA from 1 species